rnacentral:tRNA from 1 species
GGGUGUAUAGCUCAAGUGGUAGAGCGUAUGCUUAGCAUGCAUGGGGCCCUAGGUUCAAGCCCCAGUACCUCCA